rnacentral:rRNA from 1 species
UACGUAGGGUCCAAGCGUUAUCCGGAUUUAUUGGGCGUAAAGCACAUGUAGGUGGUUUUAUAAGUCUCGUCUUAAAGCUCUGGGCUCAACCCAGAAUCUGGACGAGAUACUAUAAGGCUUGUGGUCAGCAGGGGCAAACGGAAUUCCCGGUGUAGUGGUGAAAUGCGUAGAUAUCGGGAGGAACACCAGUGGCGAAGGCGACUACCUGGCCUGUUCUUGACGCUGAGGCGCGAAAGCUAGGGGAGCAAACGGG